AUUGAACGCUGGCGGCAGGCCUAACACAUGCAAGUCGAACGAGUGGCGGACGGGUGAGUAAUGUCUGGGCAACUGCCUGAUGGAGGGGGAUAACUACUGGAAACGGUAGCUAAUACCGCAUACCAUCGGAUGUGCCCAGAUGGGAUUAGCUAGUAGGUGGGGUAAAGGCUCACCUAGGCGACGAUCCCUAGCUGGUCUGAGAGGAUGACCGGCCAAACUGGACCUGAGCCACGGUCCGAACUCCUACGGGAGGCAGCAGUGGGGAAUAUUGGACAAUGGGGGAAAGCCUGAUGCAGCCAUGCCGCUUGUAUGAAGAAGGCCUUCGGGUUGUAAAGUACUUUCAGCGGGGAGGCGUUACCCGAAGAAGAAGCAACGGCUAACUCCGUGCCAGCAGCCGCGGUAAUAC
rnacentral:rRNA from 1 species